rnacentral:rRNA from 1 species
GACCUCAAAUCAGGUAGGACUACCCGCUGAACUUAAGCAUAUCAAUAAGCGGAGGAAAAGAAACUAACAAGGAUUCCCCUAGUAACUGCGAGUGAAGCGGGAAAAGCUCAAAUUUAAAAUCUGGCAGUCUUUGGCUGUCCGAGUUGUAAUCUAGAGAAGUGCUAUCCGCGCUGGACCGUGUACAAGUCUCCUGGAAUGGAGCGUCAUAGAGGGUGAGAAUCCCGUCUUUGACACGGACUACCAGGGCUUUGUGAUGUGCUCUCAAAGAGUCGAGUUGUUUGGGAAUGCAGCUCAAAAUGGGUGGUAAAUUCCAUCUAAAGCUAAAUAUUGGCGAGAGACCGAUAGCGAACAAGUACCGUGAGGGAAAGAUGAAAAGAACUUUGGAAAGAGAGUUAAACAGUACGUGAAAUUGCUGAAAGGGAAACGCUUGAAGUCAGUCGCGUUGUCCAGGGAUCAACCUUGCUUUUGCUUGGUGCACUUUCUGGUUGACGGGUCAGCAUCAAUUUUGACUGUUGGAAAAAGAUCAAGGGAAUGUGGCAUCUCUGGAUGUGUUAUAGCCCUUGGUUGCAUACAAUGGUUGGGAUUGAGGAACUCAGCACUCCGCAAGUCCGGGU